CCCUUAGAUGUUCUGGGCCGCACGCGCGCUACACUGAUGCAUUCAACGAGUCUAGAACCUGCUCUGAUAGGGGUGGGUAAUCUUUUGAAUGUGCAUCGUGAUUGGGAUAGAUGAUUGCAAUUUUUCAUCUUCAACGAGGAAUGCCUAGUAAACGCAAGUCAUCAGCUUGCAUUGAUUACGUCCCUGCCCUUUGUACACACCGCCCGUCGCUCCUACCGAUUGAAUGAUCCGAUGAAUAUCAUGGAUUGAGGAUGCAAGUAGGUUAGCCUAUCUUCAUCUUCGAGAAGUGAAGUAAAUCUUAUCAUUUAGAGGAAGGAGAAGUCGUAACA
rnacentral:rRNA from 1 species